UUAAGGGAGACGGAUUUUAUUAUAAAUGUCUGGAUAAGGUCGUAGAGUAUACAACGAUUUAUGUUAAAAACAGGAUGGAUGCCCGCAGACUGAUUGAUUCCGGGAAAUAUGAAGAAGCAUGUGAGAAUCUGUGGAGAGAAAUCCGGGAGAAAACCGGAAACAUGGCUGAUAAUAUAUCUGGCAAAAGAAUACUGGUGAUCGGCACUGAGGAGUUUAUGUUCCCUGCACUUUAUAUCGGAAGAAAGAUGGAAAAAGAGGGAACCGAAGUAAGGUGCCAUUCGACUACAAGAAGUCCCAUUUAUGUAAGUCAGGAAAAAGAGUAUCCCAUUCACAGCAGAUAUGAACAGAAAAGUAUAUAUGAUCCGGACAGGAGAACGUUUAUUUACGAUAUAGGAAAAUAUGACAAGGUAUUGAUUGUCACAGAUUCCCCGGAAAUAAAGGAGAGUCAGGAAACGCUGAUAAAUGCUGUCCGGAUGCAGAACAAGGAUAUUACAGUUGUAAGGUGGUGCUGAUUUGAGAAGUUCCUAUUCAGAAGAAGAUGUGAUUUUAUUAUUGAAGGAUAUUACCGGGUGACUCCGUAACUUCGGGAGAAGGAGUGCCCCUGGCGGUGACGGGACUAGCUCCCCGAGCGGCCGGGGGUCGCAGCGAAACGGCCCAAGCGACUGUUUAUCAAAAACACAGGACUCUGCAAAGCCGUAAGGCGACGUAUAGGGUCUGACGCCUGCCCGGUGCUGGAAGGUUACGCGGAUGGGUCAGCCGCAAGGCGAAGCUCUGAAGCCAAGCCCCAGUAAACGGCGGCCGUAACUAUAACGGUCCUAAGGUAGCGAAAUUCCUUGUCGGGUAAGUUCCGACCUGCACGAAUGGCGUAACGAUUUGGGCGCUGUCUCAACCAUGGACCCGGUGAAAUUGUAUUAUUCGUGAAGAUGCGAAUUACCUGCGGAAGGACGGAAAGACCCCGUGAACCUUUACUGCAGCUUGACAUUGAUCGUUGGCUCGGCGCGUAGAGGAUAGGCAGGAGGCUGCGAAGCCCGGGCGCCAGCCCGGGCGGAGCCGACCUUGGAAUACUGCCCUCGUCGCGUCGGCGAUCUAACCCCCGGCCGUGAUCCGGCGGGGGGACCGUGUCAGGCGGGUAGUUUGACUGGGGCGGUCGCCUCCCAAAACGUAACGGAGGCGCGCAAAGGUCCGCUCAGAACGGUCGGCAACCGUUCGCAGAGCGCAAGAGUACAAGCGGGCUUGACUGCGAGGCCCACAAGCCGAGCAGAGACGAAAGUCGGUUCUAGUGAUCCGGCGGCACAGAGUGGAAUGGCCGUCGCUCAACGGAUAAAAGGUACUCCGGGGAUAACAGGCUGAUCUUGCCCAAGAGUCCACAUCGACGGCAAGGUUUGGCACCUCGAUGUCGGCUCAUCGCAUCCUGGGGCUGAAGUCGGUCCCAAGGGUAUGGCUGUUCGCCAUUUAAAGAGGUACGUGAGCUGGGUUCAGAACGUCGUGAGACAGUUCGGUCCCUAUCCUCCGCAGGCGCAAGAGGAUUGAGGAGGUCUGCCCCUAGUACGAGAGGACCGGGGUGGACGGACCUCUGGUGCAGCAGUUGUCGACCAACGGCACGGCUGCCUAGCUACGUCCGGCACGGAUAACCGCUGAAAGCAUCUAAGUGGGAAGCCGUCUCCAAGAUGAGUCCUCUUUCCGGUAAGGGCCCAGGCAGAACACCUGGUCGAUAGGCCGCAGGUGCAAGGCGUGCGAGCGCCUCAGCCGAGCGGUACUAAUAGCCCGAGCUCUUCUUCC
rnacentral:rRNA from 1 species